UUGGGAAGGAAUCCAUGUUGGACAGCAUACACUCUUUUAUAUACAGAGUUUUUAUUUGUUUGCAAGUUUUUUAGUAUUGUAAUAAAUUCUUUUAUACAUUUAAGUCCUCUUUGAGUCCUCCAAUUUGCUGCUACAAAGAAGGGUGGUGCCCUCUUUACAUUCACCUCAGCCAUUCCACCCAGAGCCAGGUUCAUCGCCUGUGAGCAAUAACUUGCACUUAAUACCUCCAUAUCUAUAUUGUAACCUAGUACACCAGAAAGAAUUUUCUAUUCUACUGCUUUUGUCUUAUUCUCUGAGAAUUAUUUGAAUUAAAGGGGAAAGUGCCACCAGCCAGCACUACUGCUAAAGAGAUUUGAGCCUGUCCUAUCUGAGGCUCUACUCCAUGUGACUUGUUAACCUGCAACGUAGAUACGUUUCUCACCCUUUACCAUAGAAUUAUGCUAUGUAUUUUUAUUUUCUUUCAUACAUGCCUUGAUAUCCACUGGAUUAAAGCAUCAUCCAAGCUUGGUAAUAUCUGAUACACCCCCAUUUAGGGAAGGUGGUUACAUUUCCACCAUCUUUCGCUCGCUCCACUCUUUUUUUGAAAUUCACUUUUGUAAAUAACCCUGUGAGAUAGUUUAAUAGGGUUAUUCACUAAGUGAGAAUCACCGGGAAUUCAAAGUGAAGCU